GACAGUGUCAUGAUGUGAAUACUGUUGAUACUGAUGAUGUGGAUGCUGAUGAUGUGGAUGUUGAUAAUGUUGAUGCCUCCGUUGAUCAACCAGGGACUGAAAUAGCUGGACAGUGCCAUGAUGUGGAUACUGUUCAUACUGAUGAUGUGGAUACUGUUCAUACUGAUGAUAUAAUGCUGAUAAUGUGGAUAUUUAUGAUGUAGAUGCCCCGGAUGAUCAACCAGGGACUAAUAGAGCUGGACAGUGCCAUGAUGUGAAUACUGUUGAUACUGAUGCUGUGGAUGCUGAUGAUGUGGGUGAUGAUAAUGUGGAUGCCUCCGGACUGAAAUAGCUGGACAGUGCCAUGAUGUGGAUACUGUUCAUACUGAUGAUGUGGAUACUGUUCAUACUGAUGAUAUAAUGCUGAUAAUGUGGAUAUUUAUGAUGUAGAUGCCCCGGAUGAUCAACCAGGGACUAAUAGAGCUGGACAGUGCCAUGAUGUGAAUACUGUUGAUACUGAUGAUGUGGAUGCUGAUGAUGUGGGUGAUGAUAAUGUGGAUGCCUCCGGACUGAAAUAG